rnacentral:rRNA from 1 species
AGCUGGCGGAUCCAUUUUCUGCCACCGAAUACAUUAGCAUGGGAUAAUGGAAUAGGACCCUGUCCUCCUAUUUUCAGUUGGUUUUGGCAGCGCGAGGACUAGGGUAAUGAUUAAUAGGGAUAGUUGGGGGCAUUAAUAUUUAAUUGUCAGAGGUGAAAUUCUUGGAUUUAUGAAAGAUUAACUUCUGCGAAAGCAUCUGCCAAGGAUGUUUUCAUUAAUCAAGAACGAAAGUUAGGGGAUCGAAGACGAUCAGAUACCGUCGUAGUCUUAACCAUAAACGAUGCCGACCAGCGAUUAGGAGACGUUGAAUACAAAACACCACCAUCGGUGCGGUCGUCCUUGGCGUCGGUCUUUCGGGGCCGGCGCGGGGACGGCUUAGCCCGGUGGCACCGGUGAAUGACUCCCUAGCAGAUUGAUGAAAAAUGGCCCACAUCGU